UAAAGUUAAAGCAGUAGCAUUCUAUGUCUGAAAGAUUAAGAGUUUCACAGUACAAAGUCUACUGAUUUAGCAGCUGAUUUAGUCUAUCAACUAAGGAAAUAGCUAAAUAAUUCUACCAGAAGGAACAAUAACAUGAAAAUAAUAUUCAAUAUAAAUGUUUUCUUUCAGGCUGUUUUCAGCUGGAUUGUUAAAUUCUGCCAAAAGAGAUUCUCAACACACACUCCUACUGGAUUAUGGGUUUCCAAUAAUUAUGUCUUCGAAAAGUGUUUUUGCCAGGAUGGAUGGCUGCAGAACUGAGUCUGGGAAAUCAACAAUCUGCCUUCCAGGUAAAAGGAAUGAAGAAAGAAGAAUACUGCUGAAAGUAUAAGAAGAUGUCACUGUCUCAUCCUUGUGUCUCUUCUUCACCCACCUGGAAUGUUAAAGGCUGUGUUUAUCCCUGAACUGGAUACUCAUUCUGAAGCCUUUCAGAGCUGCUGUCACCAUUUGUUGUACCAUUUUAUUUUUCUCCUUUGGAAAAUGAACAUCAUUCAUUCAUACAGAACUCUGCCACCACCCCUUUGAAGAAACCAGGUUCCAAGAAUGUAAAAUGCUCAGUAAAGACUCCACAUGAUGUUUUUCGUUUUUUUGUUUUUUGUUUUUUGUUUUUUGUUUUUUUUUUUUGUCUUUUUGCCUUUUCUAGGGCUGCUCCCUCGGCAUAUGGAGGUUCCCAGGCUAGGGAUCAAAUCGGAGCUGUAGCCACCAGCCUACACCAGAGCCACAGCAACGUAGGAUCCAAGCCACAUCUGUGACCUACACCACAGCUCACAGCAAUGCCAGAUCCUUAACCCACUGAGCAAGGCCAGGGAUCGAACGCGCAACCUCAUGGUUCCUAGUCAGAUUCGUUAACCACAGAGCCACGACAGGAACUCCUAAAGACACCACAUGUUAAUUCUAUUGUUAUUACUAUAUUUCUUCAGGCUGUUGAAGCAAAUUGCUAUGAGUGACGUUGUCAAUGUAAUCUACACUUAAGGAGAGAAAAGAGAUAUUGGCAGGUGUUCAACUAAUGACCCCAUCCAUGUUUCUAGAUUCUUCACACUCUAAUCUGCCCACAACUUCCAUCCCUAGUUGGAGAUCCUUCACUUCCAGAGUGAGCCAAAGUUAUUGAAGGGAAGGCAUCUGAUACCUCAGGUGAGUUGUGGGUAGGAGGAAUAAUGUUGAGAACUACUGUAAUGAAAAAAAAAAGUGUUUUUAGGACACCCUAAAACAUAUAGGGUAGAUAAUAAUAAUGGCUACUUGUACUGGGAGCUUCCAUGGUGCUUGUUCCUUUGCUAAGAAGCAUAUUACUUAUUGUGCAUAACAAUCACACAAGUGAAAUAUCAUUCUCAUUU
rnacentral:lncRNA from 1 species